rnacentral:rRNA from 1 species
UGAGGAAUAUUGGACAAUGAGCGCAAGCCUGAUCCAGCCAUGCCGCGUGCAGGAAGAAGCAUCUAUGGUGUGUAAACUGCUUUUGUACGGGAAGAAACACUCCUUCGUGAAGGAGCUUGACGGUACCGUAAGAAUAUGGAUCGGCUAACUCCGUGCCAGCAGCCGCGGUAAUACGGAGGAUCCAAGCGUUAUCCGGAAUCAUUGGGUUUAAAGGGUCCGUAGGCGGUUUAGUAAGUCAGUGGUGAAAGCCCAUCGCUCAACGAUGGAACGGCCAUUGAUACUGCUAGACUUGAAUUAUUAGGAAGUAGCUAGAAUAUGUAGUGUAGCGGUGAAAUGCUUAGAUAUUACAUGGAAUACCAAUUGCGAAGGCAGGUUAAUACUUGUGGAUUGACGCUGAUGGACGAAAGCGUGGGGAGCGAACA